AUUCGAAGCAACGCGAAGAACCUUACCAGGUCUUGACAUCCUUCGCUACCUCUAGAGAUAGAGGGUUCCCCUUCGGGGGACGGAGUGACAGGUGGUGCAUGGUUGUCGUCAGCUCGUGUCGUGAGAUGUUGGGUUAAGUCCCGCAACGAGCGCAACCCUUGACCUUAGUUGCCAGCAUUCAGUUGGGCACUCUAAGGUGACUGCCGGUGACAAACCGGAGGAAGGUGGGGAUGACGUCAAAUCAUCAUGCCCCUUAUGACCUGGGCUACACACGUGCUACAAUGGAUGGUACAAAGGGUCGUGAAACCGCGAGGUGGAGCCAAUCCCAAAAAACCAUUCUCAGUUCGGAUUGCAGGCUGCAACUCGCCUGCAUGAAGCCGGAAUCGCUAGUAAUCGCGGAUCAGCAUGCCGCGGUGAAUACGUUCCCGGGCCUUGUACACACCGCCCGUCACACCACGAGAGUUUGCAACACCCGAAGUCGGUGAGGUAACCCUUACGGGAGCCAGCCGCCGAAGGUGGGGCAGAUGAUUGGGGUG
rnacentral:rRNA from 1 species